AGUUGCCCUUUUAAUAUCAGAAUAAAAUCGGAGUCAAUUAAUCGCUAAUCUAUCAGCACUUCUCUUGGGGUACCUAUGAAGGCUGCUUAUUAUGCUGGGCCCUGGAGGACAGGACAGUUCAACACUCAGCAUCUCUACUGGAUCAGUUGUAAGUAUGCAAAUUCCAGUCAGACCACACGACAUUGGAGGGCCCAGGGACUUCUGACACCUGGGCUUGUCUGCUUGGAUGGAGGAUUAGAAUGGAAACUUUGAAGGCCCCCAGCUCCACCUGUGACCCCCAGAGCUGGUCAGAAGAAAGCAGCCAUACUGUAAACUAUAAAAACAUGGAGCACCGCAAAGCCUGAUUUCUUAUCAAUCUCACUGUGGACCCUAGUGCUUGCUGUUUAACAAUAGCAUGCCUUUUCAAACAAUGCAUUUAGGGUAUGCUGUUUGAAUUUUAUCACUCUUAAGGCUUGCAAGAAUUAGCAAAUCUUUUGAAGUUUGUCAUAGAACCACGAUAGAAUAAGAACAUCUAUAAAUACAAGGAACAACACAUAAUGGGUUUCAGUAACCCCAGCAAAAUACAGGCGCGUCUCCACCUUACCUUCCCUGAACUGACUAAUUU
rnacentral:lncRNA from 1 species